rnacentral:piRNA from 1 species
UGACCACGGGCCGGAAAAGAAAUGGCUGC